UAUCCUGUUAUAGUACCAUGCACCUGCCUUCUAUCACGGAUGCUUGGCUAUGCUAACAGGAAAGAUAAAGUCUCCUUCAGUAUCUGAAGGGGUUGAGCAGCCUCAUUUCUGCCGCCCCUAAUGAAAUGAUGGUACAAUAUGAA
rnacentral:snoRNA from 1 species